UACGGGGGGGGCAAGCGUUGUUCGGAAUUACUGGGCGUAAAGCGUGCGCAGGCGGUUCUGAAAGUCAGCUGUGAAAGCCCCGGGCUUAACCUGGGAAUUGCGGUUGAAACUACAGGGCUAGAAUCUGGCAGAGGGGGGUGGAAUUCCACGUGUAGCAGUGAAAUGCGUAGAGAUGUGGAGGAACACCGAUGGCGAAGGCAGCCCCCUGGGCUGAGAUUGACGCUCAGGCACGAAAGCGUGGGGAGCAAACAGG
rnacentral:rRNA from 1 species